GAUGAAGAACGUAGCGAAAUGCGACAAGUAGUGUGAAUUGCAGAAUUCAGUGAAUCAUCGAAUCUUUGAACGCACAUUGCGCCCCUUGGUAUUCCAUGGGGCAUGCCUGUUCGAGCGUCAUUUGUACCUUCAAGCUCUGCUUGGUGUUGGGUGUUUGUCUCGCCUUUGCGUGUAGACUCGCCUUAAAACAAUUGGCAGCCGGCGUAUUGAUUUCGGAGCGCAGUACAUCUCGCGCUUUGCACUCAUAACGACGACGUCCAAAAAGUACUUUUUACACUCUUGACCUCGGAUCAGGUAGGGAUACCCGCUGAACUUAAGCAUAUCAAUAAGCGGAGGA
rnacentral:misc_RNA from 1 species